GAUGAACGCUGGCGGCGUGCCUAAUACAUGCAAGUCGAGCGAACAGACGAGGAUCUUGCUCCUCUGACGUUAGCGGCGGACGGGUGAGUAACACGUGUAUAACCUACCUAUAAGACUGGUAUAACUUCGGGACACCGGAGCUAAUACGGUAUAAUAUAUUGAACCACAUGGUUCAUUGGUAAAAUACGGUUUUUCUGUCACUUAUAGAGGGAUCUCCGCUGCUUUAGCUAGUUGUUAAGUUCACGGCUUACCAAGGCUACGAGGCGUAGCCGAACUGAGAGGGUGAUAGGCGACAUGGGAGCGGAGACAGGGUCCAGGGUACUGAGAGAGGCAGCAGUCGGGAAUGGUAGGCAAUGGGCGAAAGCAUGACGGAGCAAGGCGGCGUGAGAGACAAAGGUGUUGGGAUCGUAAAGACCUCUUAUUAGGGAAGAACCAAUGUGUACGUAAAUAUGGACGUAUUGACGGUACCUAAUAAGAAAGCAACGGCUAACUACGUG
rnacentral:rRNA from 1 species